AGAGAAUCAAGAAGAAGCAAAGCUGGUCAGCCAUUCAUUCCAUAGCAGACUGACUCCUACAGUUCCAGGCUUCAGUUUCCUGUCUGUCUGUUGAACUUGCAAUUCUCUGGUUAAUAGGAAGAAGGAGAUGACUAAACCCUGUGUACCUGGCAGUUCCUGAAAACAGCCCGGAGUUAGUAACUGGAUGGCCUCCAGGACCGACCAGAGAAAGCCAAAUGUGGACUCCUAGCCAAUCACAUGUGAUGCGUUUCUUCUAGUUAGUCUGCCUACGGCAUCCCCAAGCUCACAGCUUCCAAUUAGGGAAUACUUGAAGCCUUCCCUUUUUCCCCCACUAUAAAACUUCCCCACUCCUAGGUUUGUCUUCUAGGCUUUGCAAAAACGCAAGUGACAGUAGCUGACUUCUUGCUACAGCAAGCUCUGAUAAAUAGCCUCUGCUUGUUCUCCUUUGAGUGAUCUUCAUCCAUGUCCACAAGGAACUACACCCACCACCCAUGAUUCUGAAUAUUUGUUCCACGUCUUAAAAGAUGCUGCCUUUAUCAGCUUCUCUGUCUUAAUGCCAGGCCUCUGUGAGGCCUCUAGCCCUAGAGUUUCUGGAUCCCCUCUGGGCCACCUUAGACCAUGGGAAGAGGCAAGAGGAAUGCCUCAAAGCUAUUUAUCUACCUUUCUUCCACGGCCAUCACCUGAGUAUUACUCCUGGGCCAUUUCAGAGAUGCCAAGGCUAAGGCAGGGGAAGCAGAGAAAACCUUUACUUUACUCAGACUGAUGUUUCUAAAUACCCCACCUGCAGGUAAGGUGAAAAGAGUAAA